UUGAGCAGGUUUCACCCCUUCACGAUCCUGCCCCAAUGAAGCAUCAACUCAUCACGGGAGAUCACUAGGGCCGCUCCUCCUCCUCUGUAGUUCCCCUUCCGGACUAAGAUUUCAUGGUGGGAUUUCAUCUAAUAAAGAUCCAACCAGUAUCUCUCUGAUGCCCAUCCUCUCCGGCCAUUGAGUCGCCUCUGCCCAAAGGAAGUUACGAUAUCCAAGUGAUUGGAACCCUAAUAUCCUUUCUUUGCAACCUUGGAAUCUUUUAGCUUCCAAUUCCAAGUUCUGACUACGCUCCAAUCAAGCAUCUAUUUUUGAUCCCAUAUGAAUCUAUUCAAGAUGGAUAUUGGUUGAUGGGAGAGCAACCUUAUGAAUCAACUGAUGGUAAUUUGAAGCAAUUCAGAUGCCUGCCGCCUUGGGUGAUGCCCACUACAAUGGACCCAUGCUAUAGUUAUAUGGCUGGGGUGGACAAUCCCGAAAAGAUUAGGGAAGAUCCUAGGAGUGAAGUCGGUUCCUAUUGCUCAUCUUGGUGAAGCUUGAUUGGGUGUCUACUUGGAUAGAAAACAAGAUGAACUAACCACGUUAGGUACUAUUGAAUUCAGAUUAUGCCCACAAAAUUUUGCUUUGACUCUAGCCGGGAACUCAUGCAUACAUCCAUCCACUACUGCACUUUAUAGGCUCCCUGUACUCGGGCUCCGAUGAUAGCAAGUAGAGACUCACAACCAGACACAUGAAGACCACCAGCGAUUUGCCGCUAACCGGCUACCUCCUCUAUUAGAUGACAAAAGUAUGACUGCUUGAGAUCGAAACAUCCAUGCAAUCUGCACGUUGGAUCAAAGAAUAAAGAGAAAUUUGGGGGAAUAUCAAAUGUGAGUUCCCCGCAUCUACUCUUCUUUUAGUUACUUUGGUGUCUUCCUGGAAGUUGUAUGAUCUGAAUGUCUGAUGUUCUGUACGAGAGCAAAGCCAGAUAUGAUUUGGCUUUGUUGCAUGUCUCCAUUAGACUUAGUUGUUUCUCCCCCGAAUUGAUAGAUGACGACUCAGUUAA